rnacentral:lncRNA from 1 species
AUGGAGACAGUGGAGCUUCAUGUGGCAAAGCAGCCCUUGAAAAGACUCCAAAUUAUACUGGAGGAGAAGAGUGGGAAAGCAUUAUGUGUCUUAAUAGCAGAUGAAGCAAGACUGGGAGAAGACUCUCAGCAUAUCAUUAUAAAAUUUGAGGCCUUCUGCUGCCUACAGCGGUCAACUGCUUAGUCCUCAGCCUCAUGGAAGUG